rnacentral:rRNA from 1 species
GACGAACGCUGGCGGCGUGCUUAACACAUGCAAGUCGAACGGAAAGGCCCUUCGGGGUACUCGAGUGGCGAACGGGUGAGUAACACGUUGGUGAUCUGCCCUGCACUUUGGGAUAAGCCUGGGAAACUGGGUCUAAUACCGAAUAGGACGACGCGCUUCAUGGUGUGUGGGGGCAAGCUUUUGCGGUGUGGGUUGGGCCCGAUGCCUAUCAGCUUGUUGGUGGGGUAAUGGCCUACCAAGGCGACGACGGGUAGCCGGCCUGAGAGUGUGACCGGCCACAAUGGGACUGAGAUACGGCCCAGACUCCUACGGGAGGCAGCAGUGGGGAAUAUUGCACAAUGGGCGCAAGCCUGAUGCAGCGACGCCGCGUGAGGGAUGACGGCCUUCGGGUUGUAAACCUCUUUCACCAGGGACGAAGCGUAAGUGACGGUACCUGGAGAAGAAGCACCGGCCAACUACGUG